GACGAACCGUGCGAACGUUGUUCGGAAUCACUGGGCUUAAAGGGCGCGUAGGCGGACCACCAAGUCCGGGGUGAAAUCUUUCGGCUUAACCGGAAAACAGCCUUGGAUACUGGUGGUCUCGAGUGAGGUAGGGGCCGUUGGAACUUCCGGUGGAGCGGUGAAAUGCGUUGAUAUCGGAAGGAACGCCGGUGGCGAAAGCGAACGGCUGGACCCCUUCUGACGCUGAGGCGCGAAAGCCAGGGGAGCGAACGGG
rnacentral:rRNA from 1 species